GAGAGAGACAUGCGCGCAUAUCAAUAAGCGGAGGAAAAGAAACUAACAAGGAUUCCCCUAGUAACGGCGAGUGAAGCGGGAAGAGCUCAAAUUUGAAAUCUUAAAGGGUUUCCCUUUACGAAUUGUAGUUUAAAGAAGUGUUUUCUGUUGAGGUUUUGGUAAAAGUUCUUUGGAAUAGGACAUCAUAGAGGGUGAGAAUCCCGUAUUUGACCUUUACUUUCAACUUUGUGAUACACUUUCAAAGAGUCGGAUUGUUUGGGAAUGCAGUCCAAAAUGGGUGGUAAAUUUCAUCUAAAGCUAAAUAUUGGCGAGAGACCGAUAGCGAACAAGUACCGUGAGGGAAAGAUGAAAAGAACUUUGAAAAGAGAGUUAAACAGUACGUGAAAUUGUCAAAAGGGAAGCGUUUGACACCAGUGUUGUUUUUCUGAAAAUCAAUUAAAGAACUGUUUAUGCUAAGCUGUUUAGACUUUAUCAGCUAAUCUGUUUAGUUUUGAGCUUUUCUUUAAUGCACUUUUCAGUUAACAAGUCAACAUCAAUUUCUUUUGCUGUAAAAAAGCUUGAGGAAGGUGGCUUGAGAUUCGUCUUAAGUGUUUAUAGCCUCUUGCCUAUGCAGUCGGAGAGAUUGAGGUCUGCAGCGUAGAUCCUUCGGGGCUAAAUGCAUUUGUGCUAAGUUAUAGCAUUUUAUAGACAACUUGUUGACUAUGAUUUGUCUUGUAGCUUACUCGCUUAUGUUAUUUUACCUACGCUUAGGAUGUUGAUGUGAUACUGCGAGCA
rnacentral:rRNA from 1 species